rnacentral:rRNA from 1 species
GACGAAGGGGGCUAGCGUUGUUCGGAAUUACUGGGCGUAAAGCGAGUGUAGGUGGUUGUCCAAGUUGGAUGUGAAAGCCUUGAGCUCAACUCAAGAAAUGCAUUCAGGACUGGGCGGCUAGAGGACCGGAGAGGAUAGUGGAAUUCCUGGUGUAGCGGUGAAAUGCGCAGAUAUCAGGAGGAACACCAGUGGCGAAGGCGGUGCUCUGGGCCGGAACUGACGCUGAGGAGCGAAAGCGUGGGGAGCAAACAGG